UUAAAUAAAUACAGCCCAAUUAAAUACAGUACAAUAAAUUCAGCCCAAUUAAAUAAAUACAGUCCAAUAAAUUUAAUUCAGCCCAUCCACACUUUUCAACCCUAAAAUACAGCUUAAAUACUCAUCUCCUCUAAAAUUAGGGUUCAGCGCCGCUUCUUCUCUCUCAUUUCUUCUCCCAUCCGUGCUCUCCCUUGUCUUCUCUCUCCCUCUGCCUCACCCUCUGCAGACUCUCUUCCACCUGCCGGCGAGAAGCUCAAACGUUCUCUCUAUCGUCAUCUCUCUCCCUCUGCCGGAGAAAAACCUGCAACCGUAUCACGACAAAGCCGCGGUCCGAAAACCUUUAGAUCCCUAAACUACCAAAUCCGGCCUCACAUCUAGACGACGCUCCACGCGGUGUCGCCUCUCUCCUCGACGACGAUAAAUGAGCCGCUGCCUCCCUCUGCUCAGCCCCUAUCUAGCCGCCGCCAUCCGAGUUUCAAACUACGGCGUCGCCCAGCCCUAGCUUCCAGAUCUCGGCCUCCUCCCUCGACUGCAUCUUUAAUUCUUGCGAUCUCUAUAUCUCAGUGGUAAUACUUCAGAUCUCACUUCCAUGGAAAGAUUCAGUCUUAAUCUCCACUUCAGAUCUCACUUCCAUGGAAAGAUUCAGUCUUAAAUCUUUUGCGGUCUUGCUACAAAAAUUCAGAAAUAUUCGUUACAUUUUUAGACUUUGUGUAAAGUAGAAAAAAGUGUAUAAAUUUGUAUCUUAAUUGUAAUUGAAACUAAUAAUAAACAGCAAAAAAAUUAAACAGAAUAAAAAGAAAAAUAGCAGCAGUAAAAUUAAAAUAGCAUAAAGAAGCAAUAAAGAAACCGAGAGUAGAGAGAGAAAGAUUGCAAGCUGAAAAUGUCAUCUGAAAUAAUCAGAGUCCCCUAUUUAUAGAAAAAAGCUCACAUUUAUCAACAAUAAA